UACGAAGGGGGCUAGCGUUGCUCGGAAUCACUGGGCGUAAAGGGUGCGUAGGCGGGUCUUUAAGUCAGGGUGAAAUCCUGGAGCUCAACUCCAGAACUGCCUUUGAUACUGAAGAUCUUGAGUUCGGGAGAGGUGAGUGGAACUGCGAGUGUAGAGGUGAAAUUCGUAGAUAUUCGCAAGAACACCAGUGGCGAAGGCGGCUCACUGGCCCGAUACGUGACGCUGA
rnacentral:rRNA from 1 species